CAGUUGGCGCUGACAUUUUUCAGUGUUCUCAUUAAGGUUUCUUCCCACCAUCUCCAGGUUGGAAGGCAGCAAGCAAGCUGAAGUCGCAUGAAGGAGUGGUCCUGCGCCUGCUGCUCUCUCUGCUGAUCUGAAGCCACACAGCCCAGCAUGGCUCCCACUGCUUGACUUUCUGGAGCACUCCAGGGUUUGAGCAUCAAUACCUGCCCCUCAAUUAGAUCAGAGAAAACCUGAAAGAUCGCAUAGCGGGAGUGCAAGGUGUCCACUAGAUGGCAGAAUUGAUCAAGCUGAAUCGUGCGCCGCGCAGCGAGACUGUGAACUCUGAGUACAGAAUCCAGAUGGAGGGAUAGACAGCCCUCUAAAGCUGACAUCUCCACGUUUUCCCCAGUGUGAGUCUUGAGCGGCCCAAGGGUGCUCUGAAAUGCUCCGGGCCGCACCAUUGUUACAGUCCAUAGAGGUGACACUUUAGGGAGUGACGUUAUGGUGUCUGACAGCCUGUUACAUAGUGUGAUGCUGUCACUGGAGGCUAGAGACUCCUCCAAAGGUCCUAGUUCAGGAAAUCCUGACUUACAAAGUUCAGGUUGUCCAUCCAUACAGAAAGUCAGGCACACUCUUUAUGAUGUCCCACGAGGAAUACUGGCAGUAUCACUCAUUUAGAAAAAUAUUAUCUACCAACUCUCAAUUCUCCAUUGUUGCAAACUGGUCCCGUUGUGGUCCCAGUAAUGGAUUUAUACAGCUAAGUAAUUUAUUGUGCCAUUCUCAUUGAACAUCUUUACAGAAUACUUCAAGAUUGAAAUAAAUACCAUGAAAAAAAAAACAAAGAAUUUUGUAU